rnacentral:rRNA from 1 species
GGGCUCCGCAGGCGGUUUUCUUAAGUCUGAUGUGAAAGCCCCCGGCUCAACCGGGGAGGGUCAUUGGAAACUGGGGAACUUGAGUGCAGAAGAGGAGAGUGGAAUUCCACGUGUAGCGGUGAAAUGCGUAGAGAUGUGGAGGAACACCAGUGGCGAAGGCGACUCUCUGGUCUGUAACUGACGCUGAGGAGCGAAAGCGUGGGGAGCGAACAGGAUUAGAUACCCUGGUAGUCCACGCCGUAAACGAUGAGUGCUAAGUGUUAGGGGGUUUCCGCCCCUUAGUGCUGCAGCUAACGCAUUAAGCACUCCGCCUGGGGAGUACGGUCGCAAGACUGAAACUCAAAGGAAUUGACGGGGGCCCGCACAAGCGGUGGAGCAUGUGGUUUAAUUCGAAGCAACGCGAAGAACCUUACCAGGUCUUGACAUCCUCUGACGAUCCUAGAGAUAGGACGUCCCCUUCGGGGGCAGAGUGACAGGUGGUGCAUGGUUGUCGUCAGCUCGUGUCGUGAGAUGUUGGGUUAAGUCCCGCAACGAGCGCAACCCUUGAUCUUAGUUGCCAGCAUUCAGUUGGGCACUCUAAGGUGACUGCCGGUGACAAACCGGAGGAAGGUGGGGAUGACGUCAAAUCAUCAUGCCCCUUAUGACCUGGGCUACACACGUGCUACAAUGGACAGAACAAAGGGCAGCGAAACCGCGAGGUUAAGCCAAUCCCACAAAUCUGUUCUCAGUUCGGAUCGCAGUCUGCAACUCGACUGCGUGAAGCUGGAAUCGCUAGUAAUCGCGGAUC